rnacentral:rRNA from 1 species
GAUGAACGCUAGCGGCAGGCCUAACACAUGCAAGUCGAGGGAGAAGCCCUUUCGGGGGCAGAAACCGGCGCACGGGUGCGUAACGCGUAUGCAACCUACCUUUCACAGGGGGAUAGCCCGAAGAAAUUUGGAUUAAUACCCCAUAAUAUUAUUGGAUGGCAUCAUUUGAUAAUUAAAACUGCGGUGGUGAAAGAUGGGCAUGCGUCCUAUUAGCUAGUUGGAGUGGUAACGGCACCCCAAGGCUACGAUAGGUAGGGGUCCUGAGAGGGAGAUCCCCCACACUUGUACUGAGACAGGGACCAGACUCCUACGGGAGGCAGCAGUGAGGAAUAUUGGUCAAUGGUCGGAAGACUGAACCAGCCAUGCCGCGUGCAGGAAGAAUGCCUUAUGGGUUGUAAACUGCUUUUAUAUGGGAAGAAUAAGGUGUACGUGUACAUUGAUGACGGUACCAUAUGAAUAAGCAUCGGCUAGCUCCGUG